rnacentral:rRNA from 1 species
GCUCUUCUAGCAUAUAUUAAAGUUGCUGCAGUUAAAACGCUCGUAGUUUGAAUUAUUUCGGCACUUGGCGGCAGGACGAUUUAAUUUGUCCGGCAGUCAGGGGGCCGAAUUAAAGCUCGGGGUGGAGGCGAUUAAUUUCUCUUCAUCCAGAUAACCUUGAAAAAAUAUUGUCGCUCAAAAAAGGACGGAAAAGUCUAUUG